GACGAACGCUGGCGGCGUGCCUAAUACAUGCAAGUCGAGCGGAUGGAAGGAAGCUUGCUUCCUAAAGUCAGCGGCGGACGGGUGAGUAACACGUGGGCAACCUGCCCCUAAGAUCGGGAUAACUUCGGGAAACCGGAGCUAAUACCGGAUAUGAUUAUGUCUCACAUGAGAUGUAAUGGAAAGACGGUUUCGGCUGUCACUUAGGGAUGGGCCCGCGGCGCAUUAGCUAGUUGGUGAGGUAACGGCUCACCAAGGCGACGAUGCGUAGCCGACCUGAGAGGGUGAUCGGCCACACUGGGACUGAGACACGGCCCAGACUCCUACGGGAGGCAGCAGUAGGGAAUCUUCCGCAAUGGACGAAAGUCUGACGGAGCAACGCCGCGUGAGUGAAGAAGGUUUUCGGAUCGUAAAACUCUGUUGUUAGGGAAGAACAAGUACCAUAGUAACUGAUGGUACCUUGACGGUACCUAACCAGAAAGCCACGGCUAACUACGUGCCAGCCGCCGCGGUAA
rnacentral:rRNA from 1 species